CAAUUUGCAAACACUAACCAUAGAAAAUUUUGGAAACAUGUUAAAUUUCAGCAAAGAUAUCUUCUAUUGUAUAAAGAAUAUAUCUCGAAGAUUGUAUUUUAAAUAGAAACUAAUAUAUUCUAUAAUAAAUGAAAGUUAUAGAAAGAUUCCACAAUUUACCCUAAAAUGGAAUUAUAUAGAAUAUGAACAAGAUAAAUUAUAAAGUAUAUAUUGAUAUUACACAACUUUUAAAAGUUUCAUUGUCAAGAAUCAUUAUAAUUCGUUUAAAAUGAUUUUUAUCGGAUAUGGAUAUUGGUAUUGAUAUUGAAGGGAGGCGCUCGUGGGCGUUCAAGCAUUUAGGAAACCAGACCGCUCUAGAGAACGUCCAAAAUGCCACCCUUUCUAUAGAAGGUUAGCAACUUCUUUAGUCAAGUAAUACCAUGCACUGAAUCCUGAUCGAUCAGGGUCGUUCCGAAGACUCCCAAUCUUGCUCAUGUUAAGGCAAAGCACUCGGAUUCAAAAAAUUUGCAGAAAGAAAAUUGAUACAAGAACUAGAUGUUUCACUACCCCCUAAAAAAAAAAGCUGACGUCCCAGGUAACAAAUUAGACCAUUGAAGAACCGCUUAGAAGAGGAUAGUUUAACAGCAAAAAUUAUCAUCAAUGAGUUAUCAAUAAAACGACUUCUGAUAACUUCUAGAGAAAUUAUCAUAAGAAAUUUAAAUAAAAACCAUCAUUGCCAAUUUGGAAAAAAAAUUAUCCAAGUAAAAUAUUAUUCGGAUAAAUGGAUAUAAACACAGGUAAAGUUUUAUCAUGUUCAAAUUAUAAGUCGUAAUUGAUAUUUGGUAUAAAAUUAACGUUUCAUAUAAUCUUUUAAAAUUAUUUACACAAUUCAAGUUAGUUUUAUUGUUUUUGUCAACAUUUAAAUGAAUCAUAUAUAUGUGUAAGUAUUUCAAAUAGUCGAUUUUCAAUUUAUUUACUAAAAUUGCAUGAUAAAUUUAAAAUAUUUUAUUUACUUUUUUGACGGUAAAUUUUUUUCAUGUUAUAAUCCUGCAGAUAAAAAACAAACCAUCAUUAACAAUUUCCCUAUAAGGAAUGCCUUCAAUCAGUUAUUGAACAUGGACCAACUGAUAAUUUCAUCCA